rnacentral:rRNA from 1 species
UACGGAGGGUCCAAGCGUUAUCCGGAAUCAUUGGGUUUAAAGGGUCCGUAGGCGGUUUUGUAAGUCAGUGGUGAAAGCCCAUCGCUCAACGGUGGAACGGCCAUUGAUACUGCAAGACUUGAAUUAUUAGGAAGUAACUAGAAUAUGUAGUGUAGCGGUGAAAUGCUUAGAGAUUACAUGGAAUACCAAUUGCGAAGGCAGGUUACUGCUAAUUGAUUGACGCUGAUGGACGAAAGCGUGGGGAGCGAACAGG